rnacentral:rRNA from 1 species
AUUGACCUCGGAUCAGGUAGGAAUACCCGCUGAACUUAAGCAUAUCAAUAAGCGGAGGAAAAGAAACCAACAGGGAUUGCCCCAGUAACGGCGAGUGAAGCGGCAACAGCUCAAAUUUGAAAUCUGGCUUCGGCCCGAGUUGUAAUUUGCAGAGGAAGUAUUUGGCGCGGUGCCUUCCGAGUUCCCUGGAACGGGACGCCAUAGAGGGUGAGAGCCCCGUCUGGUUGGACACCAAGCCUGUGUAAUACUCCUUCGACGAGUCGAGUAGUUUGGGAAUGCUGCUCUAAAUGGGAGGUAAAUCUCUUCUAAAGCUAAAUACCGGCCAGAGACCGAUAGCGCACAAGUAGAGUGAUCGAAAGAUGAAAAGCACCUUGAAAAGGGGGUUAAACAGUACGUGAAAUUGUUGAAAGGGAAGCGUUUAUGACCAGACUUGUGCCGUGUGGCUCAUCCGGGGUUCUCCCCGGUGCACUCCACACGGUUCAGGCCAACAUCGGUUCUCGUUGGGGGAUAAGAACAGUAGGAACGUGGCCCUCUUCGGAGGGUGUUAUAGCCUAUUGUACGAUACCUUGAUGGGGACCGAGGACCGCGCUUCGGCUAGGAUGUUGGCGUAAUGGUCAUUAGCGACCCGUCUUGAAACACGGACCAAGGAGUCGUCCAUUAGAGCGAGCGUUUGGGUGUAAAACCCGCACGCGUAAUGAAAGUGAAAUUAGGUGAGAGCUUCGGCGCAUCAUCGACCGAUCCUGAAGUUUACGGAUGGAUUUGAGUAAGAGUUUUAACGGACGGACCCGAAAGACAGUGAACUAUACUUGAAUAGGGUGAAGCCAGAGGAAACUCUGGUGGAGGCUCGCAGCGGUUCUGACGUGCAAAUCGAUCGUCAAAUUUGAGUAUGGGGGCGAAAGACUAAUCGAAC